ACUCUCGGCAACGGAUAUCUAGGCUCUCGCAUCGAUGAAGAACGUAGCAAAAUGCGAUACUUGGUGUGAAUUGCAGAAUCCCGUGAACCAUCGAGUUUUUGAACGCAAGUUGCGCCCGAAGCCAUUAGGCCGAGGGCACGUCUGCAUGGGUGUCUCG
rnacentral:rRNA from 1 species